UUGAUAUUGCUAGAUCAUCCAAAUAUGC
rnacentral:sRNA from 1 species